GCAUUGGUGAUUCAGUGGCAGAAUUCUCGCCUUCUAUGCUGGAGACCUGGGUUCAAUUCCUGGCCAAUGCA
rnacentral:tRNA from 1 species